rnacentral:rRNA from 1 species
UGUCGCGUCUGCUGUGAAAUCCCGAGGCUCAAACCUCGGGCCUGCAGUGGGUACGGGCAGACUUGAGUGCGGUAGGGGAGAUUGGAAUUCCUGGUGUAGCGGUGGAAUGCGCAGAUAUCAGGAGGAACACCGAUGGCGAAGGCAGAUCUCUGGGCCGUUACUGACGCUGAGGAGCGAAAGCAUGGGGAGCGAACAGGAUUAGAUACCCUGGUAGUCCAUGCCGUAAACGUUGGGCGCUAGAUGUGGGGACCAUUCCACGGUUUCUGUGUCGUAGCUAACGCAUUAAGCGCCCCGCCUGGGGAGUACGGCCGCAAGGCUAAAACUCAAAGGAAUUGACGGGGGCCCGCACAAGCGGCGGAGCAUGCGGAUUAAUUCGAUGCAACGCGAAGAACCUUACCAAGGCUUGACAUAUACCGGAAACUUCCAGAGAUGGUUGCCCUGCUUGCAGUCGGUAUACAGGUGGUGCAUGGUUGUCGUCAGCUCGUGUCGUGAGAUGUUCGGUUAAGUCCGGCAACGAGCGCAACCCUCGUCCUAUGUUGCCAGCACGUUAUGGUGGGAACUCAUGGGAUACUGCCGUGGUCAACACGGAGGAAGGUGGGGAUGACGUCAAAUCAUCAUGCCCCUUAUGUCUUGGGCUUCACGCAUGCUACAAUGGCCGGUACAAUGGGCUGCGAUACCGCGAGGUGGAGCGAAUCCCAAAAAGCCGGUCUCAGUUCGGAUUGGGGUCUGCAACUCGACCCCAUGAAGUCGGAGUCGCUAGUAAUCGCAGAUCAGCAACGCUGCGGUGAAUACGUUCCCGGGCCUUGUACACACCGCCCGUCAAGUCAUGAAAGUCGGUAACAUUAGAAGCCGGUGGCCUAACCCUGGGAGGGAA